GGAGGGCUGUGGGGAAGAGAGACACGCAAAAAGGGGGGGGGGGGGGGGAGGGGGGAAGAACCCACCGCCCACACGCACCACCCAGCGGCACCGCGCGGGGAUAACAAACUCCAACUCAAAAAAACUUCCCGAGCGCAUCGGGGAACGCGCAGAGGUUACAAACAAAGGGAAGCAUCAGCAUUAAAAGAAAAGGGAGACAACAACAACAAAAAAAAAAAAAAAAAGGAGGAGGAAAGCAAACGAACAAAAACCCCGAACCGAACCCAACGCGACGUCCUCAGCUCCACGCAGCGCCGAUCCCGUGAAGUUGGAGCGGGCAGAAACACGCACACGGGGGGGGGGACGACGACCAGAAAACCCACCUUUUUACAACAAAAGGUUUUUCUUUCCGAAAAGGGAAAAAUAGAAGAAACGCUCUUAGGAAACGAACGGGACUGCGGGAGCCGAACCUCCUCCCAAAGCACGCCGGGUUUGCGGGGUUGGAAGGCCGACGCCAGAAGAGUUGAAGUUAAGGAAAGCAGCGGGGAGGGGGCGGCCCCGCUUUUCGCUCCCCCCGCUCGUGUGACCCCCAUAACCCCGCAGCAGCGCCGGGGAGGGGUUGAAGUCACACCGCACGCGUUUCUAUGGGGGAAGGGGGGGGAAGAAAACAAAGUUGAAAUGUUUUCAUUUCUACCUCUUUUCUUUUUUUCCUCCCCGUACAUCGCAAAGAGGCGCACAAAGCGGAGCUGCCGGGGGGUCCCGGAGUGGCCCCCGCCGCCGCCCGGCUCUCACGUGGCCCCGCGGCCGCCCCGGGCGGACACAAAGAGGAUUCGUCGUGGAGGUGUUUCGGGGGGUGCCAUUUUUCUGGUUGGUUUUUAAUUAUGAUCUCUUCCCCCCCCCCCCCCCCCCUCCCGGUUUGUUUGCUUAAUUAUUAUUAAUUUGUUUUUUUUUCCCUCUCUCUCUCUCUGCAAAAAUAAACUCCCAACAUCUUAGAUUUUGUUUCUUUAUUGUACAAUUUAUAAAACAUCGCGCUGCCCUCCCGCCCCCCCCCACCCCCCCGCGCCCCCCACCCGCCCCUC
rnacentral:lncRNA from 1 species